UGAAAAGGAGCUGUCUAAUUAGUAUAUUUUCUAUAUGCUGAGUACCUACCUAUAUAUUCGAAUGGAUGCAGCCCUUUCUCACUAUCUAUAUUUUCAAAUGAAUCUAUAAAUCAAGUUAAAACCUUAUGAAACGUCAUUUCUUAGAAUAUAUAAGAAAAGAUAUUUGUAGAUAAUUCAAUUUUGAAGGCAUAACUCAUUUCAUUUAUGAAAAGGAACUGUCUAAUUAGUAUAUUUUCUAUAUGCUGAGUACCUAUAUAUUCGAAUGGAUGAUAGAAAAAAUAUUAGUUUACCUGUGGCAGUUCAACUUGAAGCUAUAAGCUAUUCGUAAAACGUGUGAAUAACAGUGCAUUUAUUAUUUAUUUGUGAUAUUUGUUAUAUUAUAUUAAUUUCGUACCUCAAUUAUGGCGAAGCGCCCUAAUUCAGCAAGAGUGCCUAAAAAAACGUCCAGAUCAAGAUUAAUGAAGAACCUGCAGAUAGCAAGAGCAUUGGCCUUUCAAAAUAUAAAACGAAAUCCUAAUCCACUAAUGCAAUCAACAACGUCUGUAAGAAAUGAAUUUGAACAAGAUUACCCUGCAUUAGAAAUAGAGGUUGACC